rnacentral:snRNA from 1 species
AUGCUGCUUUGGCAGCGUAUCUAUUAAAAUUGAUAUGACACAAAAGAUAUGCAUGGCUGUUGUGCAAAAAUGACACACAAAUUUGUGAAGCAUUUCAUAAUUUU